rnacentral:tRNA from 3 species
GGCAAGAUGGCCGAGCGGUCCAAGGCGCUAGGUUCAGGUUUACCUGACCAUCACAGUUCUCCGGAACUUCCUAGUCACGCAAGUGGCGUGGGUUCGAAUCCCACUCUUGUCA